GAUGAACGCUGGCGGCGUGCUUAACACAUGCAAGUCGAGCGAAGCGGCUGAAUUGAUUCUUCGGAUGAUUUUCAGUUGACUGAGCGGCGGACGGGUGAGUAACGCGUGGGUGACCUGCCCCAUACCGGGGGAUAACAGCUGGAAACGGCUGCUAAUACCGCAUAAGCGCACAGAGCUGCAUGGCUCGGUGUGAAAAACUCCGGUGGUAUGGGAUGGGCCCGCGUCUGAUUAGGCAGUUGGCGGGGUAACGGCCCACCAAACCGACGAUCAGUAGCCGGCCUGAGAGGGCGACCGGCCACAUUGGGACUGAGACACGGCCCAAACUCCUACGGGAGGCAGCAGUGGGGAAUAUUGCACAAUGGGGGAAACCCUGAUGCAGCGACGCCGCGUGAGCGAAGAAGUAUUUCGGUAUGUAAAGCUCUAUCAGCAGGGAAGAUAAUGACGGUACCUGACUAAGAAGCC
rnacentral:rRNA from 1 species